rnacentral:lncRNA from 1 species
CAACCUCUAGAUUUUGCAUAUUUUUUCUUCUUUCAUUCCUCUAUCUCGUUUUUCAUCCACCCACAUAAUUCACAAACUCAAUUCAAUUUAGAUAACCUAAAUAGAAAAAAUUAAGAAUUAGAAGAAAAAAGAUAUAAGUUUUGUUGGGUUCUAAAUAGAAAAAAUAAAAAAUUAGAAGAAAAGAAAUAUGAGUUUUGUUGGGUUCUUAACUAUCACAAAUUGGAGAAAGAAG